rnacentral:ncRNA from 1 species
GCGAGCCGUAUGAGCUGAAAGGUUCAAGUACGGUUCUGAGGGCAGUUUAAGUACCUUUGAUGCUCUCUAGGGGCCUUAGGGCCUGAGGCCACUAAGGUGACCCUAGCGAGCAUCAAGCAUAUCCUAAGGAGAUUUUCUCGAAGAGAGAGUUUUUAUGGACCCUGU